rnacentral:lncRNA from 1 species
CGCCUGCGCGCGCCUCCGCCGUGGAAGCACGCGCUCGGAUGCCGGAGGCGCCCAUUGUCCCGCCGGGGACCGCGCUCGAGUGGACAAUAGCGCAUCACGCCAAGAUUUCUAUCAUCCGCUAUUCCUGAGUGCUGCCAUUUGUGAUUUGAGAGCUCUAAGAUGGUCCUCCAAGUAGCUUCAGUCAAGGUUUGCAAAUUGCAUUUAGUUGCCAAAUCUCUUUUGUCUCCUCCAAUUUGGUUAUUCCUCAAUGGAGAAAGGAUAGUCUCUUCAAUGAAUGGUGUUGGGAAAACUGGGUAUAUCACACAUCAUACACCAUGCACAGAAAUCAGCUCAAAAUGGAUUAAAGACUUGAACAUAUGAUGUGAAACUGUGAAACUCUCAGAAGAAAACAUAGGAGGUAAGCUCCUUGAUGUUGGUCUUGGCAAUGAUUUUUCGGGUUUAAUACCAAAAGCAAAGGCAACAAAAGCAAAAAUAAACAAGUGGAACUACAUCGAGCUAAAAAGCUUCUGCACAACAGAG